GGCUGGUCCGAUGGCAGUGGGUUAUCAGAACUUACUAACAUUAGUGUCACUAAAGUUGGUAUACCACACCCCCACCACCACUGCUAAAUUUGACUGGCUUAAA
ensembl:misc_RNA Y_RNA Y RNA